AGCAUGGGGGCUCAGUGGUUAGAGCACCCGCCUUAUGGACGGAAGGUCGUGGGUUCGAACCCCGGCCGAGUCA
rfam:Strongylocentrotus purpuratus Contig72653_fixed, whole genome shotgun sequence.